UGAAAAGAAAAAAAAAAAAAAACGGUUCAAGUAGUAAAAUAUGAAUGCAUAAAUCUGUUACUUUUGAUAGUUGAUUCAGAACGUGAAACAAGAUGGUUGACUGCAAUCUGCUAAAUAGUAGACCUUUUAGCGUCAAUGAAAGUAAUGUAUUAUUCGAACACCUUACCUUUUAGAGUAAAUUAAAGUAAUGUAUAAUGGGAACACCAUCUCAGGGAUGUUGAUAUAACUAAAUAAUGAAAGUUUCAUUUCUAUUUUAUAGGUGUUACAUAAUGAUAACUAACUUAUUACUGCCAAAACAAAAUUUUUAACAUUAAAUGGAUUCGUUUAUUAUGCUUUCUAACCUCAUUAGCUUUCAAAGCAAGUGGUUGUUUUAACAGUCGCAUCAACCUUUUGUUAUUGGAUGCAUGAGAGAGAGAGAGAGGUCAUAGUCCCACAUACAGAUGGAGAAUAAUAAAUUGAUAUUUUUGUUUUAUGCAGGGAGGAUGCUGAGUGUCUUGCUG
rnacentral:misc_RNA from 1 species